rnacentral:misc_RNA from 1 species
GCCAAAACGUCUGUCUUUAUGACAAUCCAUAGAACUUAGAAGCGGAAAUUCUCUCCAAUUUUUCUUUUUUUUAAUUUUUCUUUCUCAUCAAAUCGUUCAUCAAUUCCUGGCAAUUUCCUUCAACGCGUUGACGUAGAAAAACUCCACAAAGAAAAUUAAUUUCUUGAAAAUGUCUUCUCCGCCUUCUUCUCUCAUCUCUCUUGCGUUGUCCGCUGAGAAAACAAGACCCAAACUCUCUCUUAUCUCCAUCUCCAUUGUUUCUAAGUAGUCACUUGUAAGAUGUAACUCCCAUUUCUCAUUUCUUCAUUUUCCUGUAAGUUUCCUCUUUCAUCACAACUGUGGCUAUCUCUUUCAGCAAGCAGAGUUAUACUUAAUCUGCAUUUUUUUUACUUAAUUUUUAUUCUUUGUUGCGGAAAAGUGUAUUUGGGGGAGCUUGCUGAAAAUUAACUGCAGCUUCUUAUGCCUUUGUUUUUGGAUUAAUUUUGCUUCUUGGGUUUCUGAAAAAAAUUGUUCUUGCUUUGUGGGUUUUCAGUUAAGUGGUUGUGCUUUAUGGGUUUUUCAUAUUAGUGGGUAAGCUUCAGUUGGGUAAUUGAAAUAGUGGGUUAUGCUUUCAUGGGGUUGAAAUAGUUGGGAUUGUAAGUUUAUUGUUGAGUCCGAAUUGGAAUUAUAAGAUGGCCAAGCUAUUAAGCAAAAUUUUGCCUGCUGCUCGAUCAACUCCUAAAGAGGAAGAAAAUGAUGAUUAUAAUGAAUAUUCGUGCUCAUUUGCUGUGGUGUACUCUGGCCCUCCAAUCACUCAUGAAAUUCCCCGAGCAGUGCCAGUUGAUGUUAGCCAAAUCCCAAUCGCAGCCAAACUUGCCUCAACCUCACUGUUGAAUGACGUGUCGUUGCCAGUUAUCCAACCUAUUAGACAGUCUAAAUCAUCAGGUAAGAAAACGUCCAAGGAGCCAAAAUUAGGCACAAAUGGGGUCUCGAAUAGCCUUGAUGUGCCAAGGGAAUCAUCCGAUGGGAUAGAUAAAUCGAGUACAUUCGGUUGUGCAGAUGGCAAUGAGUAUGGACCCAAAUUACCUAAUGUUCCAAGUUCUGGCAGAUUGGAAUUUGCAAAUGGUGACAACUGUGGAACAAAGUUAUCUGAUAGAAAAGGAAGCUCUGAUAAAAAGGGAUUCUGUAAUGGCCGUGACAGUUCUGGUGAAUUAUCUGGAAGAUUGCAAGUUCUGGAAUUUUGUGAUGAUUGUAAUGAUGGUGGGAGCGGAGAUUUUCAAAAUUAUAUGAAUCCCACAAACUGUGAAUCAAUAGGAUCUGAUUUAACUUCCCAUUCUGUGUCAUCUGAUAUUUUUUCUGGAAAAGAGGAGGAUUGUGUUGAAUCAACUCCAUGCCAUGUCAAAAGGCCAUCAACUGUAACUUUCCGUGACCCUGAAUCAAGCAGUGUAGUUCUGGAGGAGUCUGAUGUAUCUGAGGUUGAAAGUAACAUCCCUGCAAGGCAAACGGCUGUAAGGCCUGGAAAGAAAGGGACAUGCUAUCGAUGCUUGAAAGGAAAUAGGUUUACUGAGAAGGAGAUUUGCAUUGUGUGUGGUGCAAAGUAUUGUUGUAAGUGCGUGUUGAGAGCAAUGGGAUCAAUGCCAGAAGGAAGAAAAUGUGUAUCUUGCAUUGGUAAAAAAAUCGAUGAGUCAAAACGAAAGACUUUGGGGAAAUGUUCUCGCAUGCUGAAGCAACUGUUGCCUGAGUUGGAAGUUGAACAAGUAAUGAGUUCUGAAAGAUCCUGUGAAGCAAAUCAACUACCACCGGAGCUUGUUUACGUAAAUAGUCAGCGUCUUUCCCCACAGGAGCUAUUCCUAUUGCUGACCUGCCGGUACCCACCAAAAAAGUUAAAACCAGGAUUCUAUUGGUAUGAUAAAGUCUCUGGUUUUUGGGGAAAGGAAGGAAAGAAGCCUUGCCAAAUAAUUAGUCCCCAGUUGAGCAUUGGGGGUCACAUGCAUCAAGAUGCAAGUAAAGGAAACACAAAUAUUUUGAUAAAUAAUCGUGAGAUCACCAAAACAGAGUUAUUAAUGCUGCAGAUGAUAGGAGUGAAAUGUGAAGGAACAACUCACUUUUGGGUUAGUGCAGAUGGAUCCUAUCAGGAAGAGGGAAUGAAUAAUGUAAAAGGGAAAAUAUGGGACACGAAAAAAGCAAAGUUAAUUUGCACUGCGUUGUCUUUGCCAACUCCCCCUGGUUCUGCCAGUCCUAGUGGAGAAGAAGGGAAUAGUGUUGCCCCAAAAAGCUUUGACCAGAAAAUACUUUAUAAACUUCUUCUUGUUGGCUAUGGAAAAUCUGGCACGAGUACCAUAUUCAAACAGGCAAAAAUUGUCUACAAUAUUCCAUUUUCUGAAGAUGAGCGUCAAAAUAUUAAGCUCAUGAUCCAAAGUAAUUUAUAUGGUUAUCUGGGUAUAUUGCUUGAGGAGCGUGAACGAUUUGAAGAAGAAAGUUUAAUUAUGAAGAAGCGACAUAUCAUUGACCAAUGUAGUUCUUCAGAUACUGCAGGUCAGGUUGGGGAUAAAACAAUCUAUUCUAUUGGCCCCAGGUUGAAAGCUUUCUCGGAUUGGCUUCUAAAGAUAAUGGUAUCUGGUAAUUUGGAAGCCAUAUUCCCAGCUGCCACCCGUGAAUAUGCACAAUAUGUUGAGGAUUUGUGGAAUGAUGCAGCCAUCCAAGCCACAUAUAGCCGCAGGAAUGAAUUUGAAUCACUACCUAGAUCUGCCACUUAUUUCCUAGAACGGGCUGUUGAGAUUUCAAAGAAAGACUAUGAGCCUUCCGAUAUGGACAUCUUGUAUGCUGAGGGAAUUACAUCAUCUAAAGGGCUUUCUUCCAUGGAGUUUUCACUUUCUAAGCAAGAUGAAGACAUCUAUGAACAUGACGAGCAUGAUCCUUUGCAGAGGUACCAACUCAUCAGAGUGCACCCAAAAAUCCUUGGAGGAAACUGCAAGUGGUUGGAAAUGUUUGAAGAUGUUGACAUGGUCUUAUUUUGUGUUUCGUUGAUCGACUAUGAUGAGUUUGUUGAAGACAGUAAUGGGGUUUCCAUUAAUAAGAUGAUAGCAAGCAAGAAUCUAUUUGAAAGUAUUGUUACUCAUCCAACGUUUGAAGACAAGAAAUUUCUUCUCAUGCUGAACAAAUUUGAUUUGCUGGAGGAAAAGAUUGAACAGGUUCCACUCACCCGCUGCGAAUGGUUUCAUGACUUCAAUCCAGUGAUUGGUCAUAAUCCCAACGCCUGCAGCACCAGCAGAUCCAGAAACACCAACCCAUCAUUGGCUCAACGCGCAUUCCAAUAUAUCGCAGUUAAGUUUAAGAGAUUGUUCCGUUCUCUGACUGAUGAGAAGCUGUUUGUUUCACCAGUUACAGCAUUGGAACCUGAUAAUGUUAACGAUGCUCUUAGAUAUGCAAAGGAGAUUCUGAACUGGGAACAAGAGGAUCCCAUUGAAGUAUCUUCUGCAAGCCUUGAGGCAACUUCUGCAAGCAUUGAGGCAAGCUCAUCCUGACGAUUCACUGUAUUAUAUUUUCACCUAAACUGCACCAAUGGUCACUAAAAUUAGUUAUUGAAUUUUAUUAUGGUCACAAAAUGAAUUUUUUUGUAAUUAGGCCACUAAAAUUUUAUUUUAUUUUAUUUUUAAUUAAAUCUAGUUGAACAAAUUUCGAUCAUUUGGUGAAUAAAAGUGGCUUUAUUAUAAUAAUAAAAAAAAGUCCAUAUUAGGAUUUUAUUCAACGAUUGAUAGAAAUAUAUUUAAUUAAAUUUAAUAAAAAUAAAAUUAAAAUUUAGUGGCUUAAUUAUAAUAAAUUUGAUUUUUGUGAUCGUAAUAAAAUUCAGUGACUAAUUUAGUGAUAAUCAGUGUAAGUGAUUUACCUGAAUCAAAGAGAUCAGAGUUUCUUGUCAACGGAAAGGGUCUUGAAUCAAAGUUAGAGAGUCGGUUCAAGCCCUUCCCUUGCGAAAUCAACUGGUUCAAACCAGCAAUUUCAAAUCGAAAUUGGCUUAAUUAAAAAUUUUUUUUUUUU